UACGUAGGGAGCAAGCGUUGUUCGGAUUUACUGGGCGUAAAGGGCGCGUAGGCGGCGCGGUAAGUCACUUGUGAAAUCUCUGAGCUUAACUCAGAACGGCCAAGUGAUACUGCAGUGCUAGAGUGCAGAAAGGGCAAUCGGAAUUCUUGGUGUAGCGGUGAAAUGCGUAGAUAUCAGGAGGAACACCUGAGGCGAAGGCGGGUUGCUAGGCUGACACUGACGCUGAGUGCGCGAAAGCCAGGGGAGCAAACGGG
rnacentral:rRNA from 1 species